CACAGCGCCGCCUACUGGUAGGGCCCCGCCAGAACUGACAUAGACAGGUGCAGUCUCCAGGUGUGCCCAUACUUUUCUUGCACCAUGAAGCUGAGCAGCCUCUCUCUACUCUCUGUGACCAUCCUCCUUUGCCUCCGCAUAGCUCAGCCUGGAAUCCUGAAGACUGCACCGAAACCUGGAUAUUGCCCAGAGUUUGAUUUUGACUGCCCUUUCACCCUCUUACCUGUGUGCUGGUACGAUAAAGACUGCCGGGGGGUCAAGAAGUGUUGCUUCUACAACUGUCAAUAUCAGUGUAUGGAGCCCUGGUGGACUUUGUAUUAAGGUGGAAACUCCUUAACCAAGCCUGAGGAGGUGCCGGUUGCUACAGGCUCAGAUUUGGAUAACUGGUCUCCAAUUCAUCCAUGAUCUUCCCAGGCCCAAGAUGUACUUUUAGAAUUAAAUGCUUAUUAACAUGACAAGAAGGCAAAGAGAUAAAGCAUUGUAUAUU